rnacentral:rRNA from 1 species
UGGGAACGCGAAGAACCUUACCUGGACUUGACAUCCCCUGAAUAGAUUAGAGAUAAUUGAAGCCCUUCGGGGCAGGGAGACAGGUGGUGCAUGGUUGUCGUCAGCUCGUGUCGUGAGAUGUUAGGUUAAGUCCUGCAACGAGCGCAACCCUUGUCAUUAGUUGCUACCGGUAAGAUGAGCACUCUAAUGAGACUGCCGCGGUUAACGCGGAGGAAGGUGGGGAUGACGUCAAAUCAUCAUGCCCCUUAUGUCCAGGGCUACACACGUGCUACAAUGGGCAGUACAAUGAGACGCAAGCCCGCAAGGGGGAGCCAAACCAUAAAACUGUUCCCAGUUCGGAUUGCAGGCUGAAACCCGCCUGCAUGAAGUUGGAGUUGCUAGUAAUCGCAAAUCAGCAUGUUGCGGUGAAUACGUU